rnacentral:sRNA from 1 species
UGAUCGAGGAUUACCUCGCAGGGCGGGCA